UGAAAAAGGACCAAGCACUGACGGUAUC
rnacentral:piRNA from 1 species